CUUUGAUGUUAAUAUCCAUUUGAUUUUUUCUUUCCAAUUAAUUUUACUAAUUGAAAAAUAAUGUCCAUAAACGGAAUACAACCCUUGAUUGGCUGGCUGAGAAGAAAGGAAAGGGGUUGGAGUAUGGCUAUGUGCAGUCCAGGCCUGUUUCUGGGGUUAACAGCAAAUAGGACGAUAAUCGCGGUUCAUGGAUAUUAGUACGAGAUGCGGUUUCACUAAUAUCUUCGUCGUGAUGCAAUUCAAAACUCAACAGGAAUUUAUAUGAAAUUAGAAAAGAACUGAACAAUAUGGACACAUUUCACUCGAUACCGCUCCACACAUAGGCACGAUUUUAUCAAACUUAUCACCAUAAUUCAAUAAAUGAAACUAAACUUCACCAAACAACUGAGGCCGACUCUCCAUAGUUCCCACAUUUUAACAAUUAUUUUGAUGCAUGAAUCAUGUGCGGUGGAUUGUUUUCUCAUGCACCAUUCCCAUUUUCAUCGGUCCUGUCCGUACUCGAAUUGCAAAAUGGCAACAGACCAGGUGAAAACUUUCAUCUGAUUCCGCACACGAAAAUUCAAAUUUUCCUCGCAAAAAAGUGAAAUCACAAAAAAAAAUAAAAUAGAGAAAAAAAAAAUAAAUUGCACUGGAUAUGAUGAACAAUGGAGCAGAGAAGCACCAAAGUAUGGUUGCUGCAAAUGAAUAAUGAAGGAGCUCAGUGGUGUGGCUUCAAUCUGCUGCAAUUCGCUGCAUGAAUUUAGCAUUUUGAAGAUGAAGCAAUGGAAAAUUGGAAUAAAUUUGGUUUAAUUAAUUUUAAA
rnacentral:lncRNA from 1 species